GCCCAGGUGGUGGAAUUGGUAGACACGCAGGACUUAAAAUCCUGUUCCUUUUCGGAGUGCGGGUUCGAUUCCCGCCCUGGGCACCA
rnacentral:tRNA from 2 species